UACGUAGGGUGCAAGCGUUAAUCGGAAUUACUGGGCGUAAAGCGUGCGCAGGCGGUUCGGAAAGAGAGGUGUGAAAUCCCAGGGCUUAACCUUGGAACUGCACUUCUAACUCCCGAGCUAGAGUACGUCAGAGGGGGGUAGAAUUCCACGUGUAGCAGUGAAAUGCGUAGAGAUGUGGAGGAAUACCGAUGGCGAAGGCAGCCCCCUGGGAUGAUACUGACGCUCAUGCACGAAAGCGUGGGGAGCAAACAGG
rnacentral:rRNA from 1 species